CCUGGAGGAAGUAAUGGACGGAGGACACCGCCCAGCUCCAGUGUGCCCAGCACUGCCGGGCCUGGGCAAGGGGCUCAGAACCCAACUGCCACCCUCGGCCCCUGCUCUGCUGCAGCUGUGACACUCCCUUCCGCAUGUGUCAGCAAGGUGACUUGCCUGUUUACUGCUGGCUUCUUGCUAGUGUGAGCCCUGUGAGAGGCAGGACCCCACGCACGGGCUCUCCGGCCCCUACAAGGCGGGGCAUGUAGCAGGACCUGAAUGGCUGAGGAGUGAAUGAACCCCAGUGGCCAUGGACACAGGUCCACAGACGUCCUGCAGACUCAUUCCCUGGGAAGCCUCGCUGCACCUGGCUCCAGGUGAUUUGCAUGUGGACUGUUAGGACCUAGGGGGCUGGAGCAUCGCUGAGGACUAGGAGCACCUCCCUGCUGCUCCUCUGUGGGGCUGGUGUCCUCUCCCUCAGCGCUCUUCUUCUCUGCCCCUGCUAAGCAUUAUUUCUUCUAUUAUGGAAAAUUGGCAGGACUUCAUUUCCGCCAUGGCACAGGGCUGUGAUCUGGUUUGAACCUGUUUGUUCAUGGGGACACACUGAUCUGGGGGUCCCCUCCACACGGAUUCUUGGUGGGGGGCACAGCCUGGGAACUGACAGGAGACCGAGGCACUGAGGCUGAACCCUGCCCGAGGGCUUCAACCUGUUUCCACCUUGUGCUGGGCCCUCUUCCUCCCAGGGGGACACGCUGGGCUGGAGUGGCAUUGUUCUUCUCCAGGGUGACAAGAAUGAUUACUUACAGCCCCUCUGCCUUCCUCUGCUCCUGCCCCAGGAUGCCACGGGACUCCUGUCACCAGCUGCUUCCUGGCUUCAAUGUCGACUUUGACGUGUGGCCCUUCUUGCAGGGAUGCCGAGCAAGCCGGUCACCUUCACUGGACAACUGGAGCCUUCUAUUCUUGAGAUCCAAGGGGAAGAUGUGUGGUCAGGAAGCAGGGAUGGCAUCAGGUGGGACGGCUCAAGUCCAGCGUGGGGCAGAGGCAGCUGCUGAGCAGACCUGGGUCAGAGCCCAGGGCGGCUGG
rnacentral:lncRNA from 1 species